CCUAGUUGAUCCUACCAAUAGUCAUAUCCUUGUCUCAAAGAUUAAGCCAUGCAUGUGUAAGUAUGAACUAAUUCAGACUGUGAAACUGUGAAUGGCUCAUUAAAUCAGUUAUAGUUUGUUUAAUGGUAUCUACUACUCGGAUAAUCGUAGUAAUUCUAGAGCUAAUACGUGCAACAAACCUCGACUUCUGAAAGGUAUGCAUUUAUUAGAUAAAAGGUCGACGUGGGCUAUGCCCAUUGCUCUGAUGAUUCAUGAUAACUCAACGGAUUGCACGGCCUUUGAGCCAGUGACGCAUCAUUCAAAAUUUUGCCCUAUCAACUUUCGAUGGUAGGAUAGUGGCCUACUAUGGUGGUGACAGGUGACGGAGAAUUAGGGUUCGAUUUUAGAGAGGGAGCCUGAGAAAAGGCUACCACAUCCAAGAAAGGCAGCAGGCGCGUAAAUUAUCCAAUCUUGACACGGGGAGGUAGUGACAAUAAAUAAUAAUACUGGGCUCCAUGAGUCUGGUAAUUGGAAUGAGUACAAUCUAAAUCCCUUAACGAGGAUCCAUUGGGGGGCAAGUCUGGUGCUAGUAGCCGCAGUAAUUCUAGCUCUAAUAGCGUAUAUUUAAGUUGUUGCAGUUAAAAGGCUCGUAGUUGGAACUAGGGUUGGGUCAUCCGAUCUGCCUCACGUUAAGCAUCGAUCUACUCGUCCCUACUAUCAGCAAUGCGCUCUUGGACUUAAUUACCCGGGUUAUUCCUCCGACGCUAUUACUUUGAAGAAAUUAGAGUGCUCAAAACAGGCUUACGCUUGCAUACAUUAGCAUAGGAUAAUAUCAUAGGAUUUCGGUCCUAUUGUGUUGGCCUUCAAGAUCGGAGUAAUAAUUAAUAGGGACAGUCGAGAGCAUUCGUAUUUCAUAGUCAGAGGUGAAAUUCUUAGAUUUAUGAAAGACGAACAACUACGAAAGCAUUUGCCAAGGAUGUUUUCAUUAAUUAAGAAUGAAAGUUGAGGGCUCGAAGAUGAUCAAAUACCAUCUUAGUCCCAACCAUAAACGAUGCCGACCAGGGAUAGGCGGAUGUUACUUUUAGGACUCUGUCGGCACCUUAUGAGAAAUCAAAGUCUUUGGGUUCUGAGGGGAGUAUGGUCGUAAGGCUAAAACUUAAAGGAAUUGAUGGAAGGGCACCACUAGGAGUGGAGCCUGCGGCUUAAUUUGACUCAACAUGGGGAAACUUACCAGGUCCAGACAUAGUAAGGAUUGACAGACUGAGAGUUCAUUCUUGAUUCUAUGGGUGGUGGUGCAUGGCCAUUCUUAAUUGGUGGAGUGAUUUGUCUGGUUAAUUCCAUUAACGAACAAGACCUUAGCCUGCUAACUAGCUACAUAGAGGUGAUCCUUCGUGGCUAGCUUCUUAGAGGGACUAUGGCCGCUUAGGCCAAGGAAGUUUAAGGUAAUAACAGGUCUGUAAUGCCUUUAGAUGUUCUGGGCCGCACGCGUGCUACACUGAUGUAUUCAACGAGUCUAUAGCCUUGGCCGAUAGGCCCGGGUAAUAUUUGAAAUUUCAUCGUGAUGGGGAUAGAUCAUUGCAAUUGUUGGUCUUCAACGAGGAAUUCCUAGUAAGCACGAGUCAUCAGCUUGCAUUGACUAUGUCCCUGCCCUUUGUACACACCGCCCAUCGCUCCUACAGAUUGAAUGGUCUGGUGAAGUGUUCUGAUCACGGUGACAUUGUAAGAAGUCCAUUGAACCUUAUCAUUUAGAGGAAGGAGAAGUCGUAACAAGGUUUUCGUAGGUGAACCUACGGAAG
rnacentral:rRNA from 1 species